CUUAACCCCUGUUGGUUUUUUUUUUGUUUGUUUUGUUUCUAUUCAUUGUUGGCAUGGAGACAAAGAGGUACUCCACUAGACUGAUCAAUGCAUGAUAUUAUCAACAUAACAUUUUAGUCAAGUUCCCAGGAGCCUUCCUCCUGAAUCUGUCAUUUUGAUUCAGAUAACUAAAUCAGGCUAAGCACUGCAAUGAUAACGGAUGACUUGCCUCAUUAGGCAUCUCCUGCUGCUUUACUCUGUCAGGAACCACUACUGUGACUGUCUGCAUUCCUGGGAAAGGGCUGGCUUGUCUUAUUUUAUAUUGGUAUACUUCAGGAAGCACAAGAGAAAGUAAAAAAUGAAUCCAAGUAUAUACAAGGGCUGCUCUGAAGGUACAGUGCAGUCCAGUCUAUCAUACUUCAGGCUCUUACCUGCAGAUGAGUGCAAUAAGUAGUGACUUUUCUAUCACCA
rnacentral:lncRNA from 1 species